rnacentral:rRNA from 1 species
AUGGUAGGAUAGAGGCCUACCAUGGUGGUAACGGGUAACGGGGUGUUAGGGCACGACACCGGAGAGGGAGCCUGAGAAACGGCUACCACAUCCAAGGAAGGCAGCAGGCGCGCAAAUUACCCAAUCCCGACACGGGGAGGUAGUGACAAUAAAUAACAAUACGGGGUUCUUUGAAUCUUGUAAUUGGAAUGAGUACAAUUUAAAUCUCUUAACGAGGAACAAUUGGAGGGCAAGUCUGGUGCCAGCAGCCGCGGUAAUUCCAGCUCCAAUAGCGUAUAUUAAAGUUGUUGCAGUUAAAAAGCUCGUAGUUGAAUUUCGGGAUCAAUACGUCGGUCGUGCUUUCGGGUACGUACUGGCGUCAUUGGUUUCUCCUUUCUGACGAACCAUGAUGUCAUUAAUUUGGUGUUAUGGGGAGUUAGGACUGUUACUUUGAAAAAAUUAGAGUGUUUAAAGCAGGCAUUAGCUUGAAUACAUUAGCAUGGAAUAAUGAAAUAGGACGUUCGAUCCUAUUUUGUUGGUUUCUAGGAUCAACGUAAUGAUUAAUAGGGAUAGUUGGGGGCAUUAGUAUUCAAUUGUCAGAGGUGAAAUUCUUGGAUUUAUUGAAGACUAACUACUGCGAAAGCAUUUGCCAAGGAUGUUUUCAUUAAUCAAGAACGAAAGUUAGGGGAUCGAAGACGAUCAGAUACCGUCGUAGUCUUAACCAUAAACUAUGCCGACUAGGGAUCGGAUGAUGUUAAUUUUUUAAUGACUCAUUCGGCGCCUUACGGGAAACCAAAGUGUUUGGG